rnacentral:rRNA from 1 species
CCUACGGGAGGCAGCAGUGGGGAAUAUUGCACAAUGGGGGAAACCCUGAUGCAGCGACGCCGCGUGAGCGAUUAAGUAUUUCGGUAUGUAAAGCUCUAUCAGCCGGGAAGAAAAUGACGGUACCUGACUAAGAAGCCCCGGCUAACGACGUGCCAGCAGCCGCGGUAAUCCGUAGGGGCCAAGCGUUAUCCGGAUUUACUGGGUGUAAAGGGAGCGUAGACGGCGGUGCAAGCCAGAUGUGAAAGCCCGGGGCCCAACCCCGGGACUGCAUUUGGAACUGUGCUGCUAGAGUGUCGGAGAGGCAGGCGGAAUUCCUAGUGUAGCGGUGAAAUGCGUAGAUAUUAGGAGGAACACCAGUGGCGAAGGCGACCUGCUGGACGAUGACUGACGUUGAGGCUCGAAAGCGUGGGGAGCAAACAGGAUUAGAUACCCUUGUAGUC